rnacentral:rRNA from 1 species
UAAUACGAAGGGGACGAGCGUUAUUCGGAAUGAUUGGGUGUAAAGGGCGUGUAGGCGGUGUAAUAAGUUUGUUGUUUAAUUCUUUGGCCUAACCAAAGGCAUGCGACGAAUACUGUUAUGCUAGAGUUUGAAAGAGAAAAGUGGAAUUCUCGGAGUAGCGGUUAAAUGCGUAGAUCUCGAGAGGAACGCCAAUGGCGAAGGCAGCUUUUUGGUUCAAUACUGACGCUAAGGCGCGAAGGCGUGGGGAGCAAACAGG